AGUGAGUUAGCUGGAUCAAAUGGUGGUUCCAUUCCAAGUUUCUUAAGAAAUCUCCAUACUGCUUUCCAGAUUGGUUGUACCAAUUUGCAGUCCUACCAGCAAU
rnacentral:pre_miRNA from 1 species